AGCCGGUACCUGAGUACUGCGAGGCACGUGAAACCUCGUGGGAAUCUAGGGGGACCAUCCUCUAAGGCUAAGUACUCCUCAGCGACCGAUAGUGGACUAGUACCGUGAGGGAAAGGUGAAAAGAACCCCUGUUAGGGGAGUGAAAUAGAAUCUGAAACCUGUUGCCUACAAGCUGCGAGAGCUGCUUUUUGCAGUGAUCGCGUGCCUUUUGUAUAAUGAGUCAGCGAGUUACUCUACCGUGCGAGGUUAAGCGAAAGCGUAGCCGUAGUGAAAGCGAGGCUUAAUAGGCCGACUAGUACGUUGGAGUAGACCCGAAACCGGGUGAUCUAUCCAUGAGCAGGUUGAAGCAAGGGUAAAGCCUUGUGGAGGACCGAACCGUCAACGGCUGAAAACGUUCCGGAUGACUUGUGGAUAGGGGUGAAAGGUCAAUCAAACCCGGUGAUAGCUGGUUCUCCCCGAAAUAUAUUGAGGUAUAGCCUCGGGAAUUGAUUAGCGGAGGUAAAGCACUGACAGAGCUAGGGGUCCUACCAGAUUACCAAACUCUAUCAAACUCAGAAUGCCGCUUAAUUGUAUCCCGGGAGUCAGACGGCGGGUGCGAAGGUUCGUCGUCAAAAGGGAAACAGCCCAGACCAACAGCUAAGGUCUCCAAAUCCAUGCUCAGUGGUGAAGGUAGUGGAACCGUUCAGACAGCCAGGACGUUGGCUUAGAAGCAGCCAUCGUUUAAAGAAAGCGUAAUAGCUCACUGGUCUAAUGGCUCUGCGCCGAAAAUGUAACGGGGCUAAGCAUGGUACCGAAGCUUUGGCAAUCUCCUUUGGAGAUUGGGUAGGGGAGCGUUCGCUGCGGGCUGAAGGUGUGCCGGAAGGCAUGCUGGACUGCAGUGAAGUGAUUAUGCUGACAUGAGUAACGAUAAAAUAUGUGAAAAACAUAUUCGCCGAAAACCCGAGGUUUCCUGGGUAAAGGUAAUCUUCCCAGGGUUAGUCGGAUCCUAAGGUGAGGGUGAAAGCCGUAACCGAUGGAAAACAGGUUAAUAUUCCUGUACUUGUUGUGUAGCGCGAUGGAGGGACGCAGGAAGAUAGGCGGGCCGGGUGUUGGAUAUCCCGGUGCAAGCGUGUAGGAAUAUCCGGUAGGCAAAUCCGCCGGACGAAUCUGAGACGCGAGUCCGUGGGCGCAAGCCCUGAAGCCGUUGAGUCUAUGCUGCCUAGAAAAGCUCCUAAGUUUAUCCACAGCAAUCCGUACCGCAAACCAACUCAGGUGGGUGGGAUGAACAAUCCAAGGCGCUCGAGAGAACUCUGGCCAAGGAACUCGGCAAAAUAACCCCGUAACUUCGGAAGAAGGGGUGCUCUCUAGGGUGACAUGUUUAACAUAUGAAGCCCCGGGGAGCCGCAGUGAAUUGGUGGUGGCGACUGUUUACUAAAAACAUAGGUCUGUGCGAAGUCCUAAAGACGACGUAUACGGACUGACGCCUGCCCGGUGCUGGAAGGUUAAAAGGAGGGGUCAGCGCAAGCAAAGCUCCGAAUUGAAGCCCCAGUAAACGGCGGCCGUAACUAUAACGGUCCUAAGGUAGCGAAAUUCCUUGUCGGGUAAGUUCCGACCUGCACGAAUGGCGUAACGAUCUCCACACUGUCUCGGCCAGAGACUCGGUGAAAUUGAAGUCGCGGUGAAAAUGCCGUGUACCCGCAGAAAGACGGAAAGACCCUGUGCACCUUUACUAUAGCUUGACAUUGGAUUUUGGGCCUGCAUGUGUAGGAUAGGUGGGAGGCUGUGAACCCUGUACGCCAGUAUGGGGGGAGCCAUCCUUGAAAUACCACCCUUGCAUGUUUAAGAUCCUAACUUCUUCCGGUUAUCCCGGAGAAAGACAGUGUCUGGCGGGUAGUUUGACUGGGGCGGUCGCCUCCUAAAGUGUAACGGAGGCAUGCAAAGGUUCCCUCAGCCUGAUCGGAAACCAGGCGCUGAGUGCAAACGCAUAAGGGAGCUUGACUGUAAGAGAGACAUCUCGAACAGGAACGAAAGUUGGCGUUAGUGAUCCGGUGGUCCCGUAUGGAAGGGCCAUCGCUCAUUGGAUAAAAGGUACGCCGGGGAUAACAGGCUGAUCGCAUCCAAGAGUUCACAUCGACGAUGC
rnacentral:rRNA from 1 species